CCAGGAUCAGGGAGACUUUGUAAGGUCACCAUGAACUCCUGAAACUCAGCUUUCUGCAUGCUAGGGUGCAGGACUGCCAAAGGGAGACGUAGCCUUUAGCAACACCGGGAUAUCAAAGGUCCCAGAAGAUAUGACUGUCAGAAGAUAUCAGAUCUACUAUGACAGCAAUGCCUGUUGUCAGCCAUCCAGCGCCAAGACAGCAGUUCUGCCAGACCAACAAUUGAAAGGAAUUAACUGGAAGAAACCUUCUCACCAGGAGAUCACAUGCAGAGAGGGAUCAUAAGAUCAG